rnacentral:rRNA from 1 species
UACAGAGGGGGCAAGCGUUGUUCGGAAUUACUGGGCGUAAAGGGCGCGUAGGCGGCCUGUUAAGUCGAACGUGAAAUCCCUGGGCUCAACCCAGGAACUGCGUCCGAUACUGGCAGGCUUGAAUUCGGGAGAGGGAUGCGGAAUUCCAGGUGUAGCGGUGAAAUGCGUAGAUAUCUGGAGGAACACCGGUGGCGAAGGCGGCAUCCUGGACCGAGAUUGGCGCUGAGGCGCGAAAGCCAGGGGAGCAAACGGG